GAAAGGGCGGCAGCUUACACAUGCAAGUCGAGCGAGACCUUCGGGUCUAGCGGCGGACGGGUGAGUAACGCGUGGGAACGUGCCCUUUGCUACGGAAUAGUCCCGGGAAACUGGGUUUAAUACCGUAUGUGCCCUUCGGGGGAAAGAUUUAUCGGCAAAGGAUCGGCCCGCGUUGGAUUAGGUAGUUGGUGGGGUAAUGGCCUACCAAGCCGACGAUCCAUAGCUGGUUUGAGAGGAUGAUCAGCCACACUGGGACUGAGACACGGCCCAGACUCCUACGGGAGGCAGCAGUGGGGAAUCUUAGACAAUGGGGGCAACCCUGAUCUAGCCAUGCCGCGUGAGUGAUGAAGGCCUUAGGGUUGUAAAGCUCUUUCAGCUGGGAAGAUAAUGACGGUACCAGCAGAAGAAGCCCCGGCUAACUCCGUGCCAGCAGCCGCGGUAAUACGGAGGGGGCUAGCGUUGUUCGGAAUUACUGGGCGUAAAGCGCACGUAGGCGGACUGGAAAGUUGGGGGUGAAAUCCCGGGGCUCAACCUCGGAACUGCCUUCAAAACUAUCAGUCUGGAGUUCGAGAGAGGUGAGUGGAAUACCGAGUGUAGAGGUGAAAUUCGU
rnacentral:rRNA from 1 species